AUGGCNNNNNNNNNNNNNNNNNNNNNNNNCUCCUUCCGCCUCUCCUCCCGCCCCCUCCUCCCGCUCCGCCUCCUCUCCCUCUCCCGCCCCGCCUCCUCCUCCGCCUCCCCCACCGCCGCCGCCGCCGCCGCCCCCUCCUCGUCCGGCCGCAACCGCGCCCCUCCCGCGCCCAGCCGCGGCGGCGCGCCAUGGAUGCAGAAGUGGGCCCCCGCCGACCCCUCCGCGCCCGCGCCCGCGCCCGCCCCCUCCCCGGGCCACGCGCCCUCCACCUCCAUCGACCGCAUCGUCCACCGCCUCCGCAACCUCGGCCUCGGCACCGACGACGACGAGCCCUCCUCCCCCGCCGACGCCCCGCUCGACGGCAGGGAGCGCCUCGGCGACCUGCUCGACCGCAGCUGGGCGCGCCCCGACCGCCAGUUCGCCGCCUCCGGCCUCGACGAGGCCGUCCUCCCGUGGGAGAGGGACCGGGAGAGCGACGGCGAGGAGGUGGACGGGGUCAAGAGGAAGCGGGUCAGGGCGCCCUCGCUGGCGGAGCUCACCAUGGACGACGUCGAGCUGCGCCGCCUGCGGGGCAUGGGCAUGACCCUCAAAGACCGCAUCACCGUGCCCAAGGCCGGGGUCACGCAGGCCAUCACGGAGAAGAUCCACGACGCCUGGAGGAAGUCGGAGCUGGUCCGACUCAAGUUCCACGAGGACCUCGCCAACGACAUGAAGACUGCCCAUGAGCUUGUCGAGCGGCGGACAGGAGGGCUGAUCAUAUGGAGGGCUGGGAGUGUUAUGGUUGUCUACCGCGGGAGCAAUUACACGAGGCCUCUGAAAUCUCAACCUUUUGACGGUACCUCGUCACCGAGGAAGGGUGAAGAUAGUACAUUGUUCAUCCCCGAUGGCUCGAGCACUGCUGAGAAUGAUAAUCAGGGGAAGGAUCUAACUGCUCAACAUGAUAAUGCACCCAUAUUGGAUCUGCACAAUACAGAGGACAUGACGGAAGAAGAGCUGGAGUUCAAUCAAAUGCUUGAUGAGCUGGGCCCUCGUUUCGUGGAUUGGUGGGGAACAGGAAUUUUACCUGUGGAUGCCGACUUGCUGCCUCAAACAAUUCCAGGUUAUAAAGCGCCAUUUAGAGUUCUUCCAACUGGAAUGCGCACAAGCCUUACCAACUCAGAGCUGACUAAUUUGCGAAAGUUAGCAAGGAACCUCCCUUGUCAUUUUGCUCUAGGGAGAAACCGGAAUCAUCAAGGCUUGGCCGCGGCUAUUGUUAAGCUUUGGGAGAAGAGUUUGGUGGUGAAAAUAGCUGUCAAACGUGGAAUCCAGAACACAAAUAAUAAGCUAAUGUCAGACGAAAUAAAGAAUCUAACAGGGGGUACCCUGCUUCUUCGAAAUAAAUAUUACAUUGUAAUAUAUCGUGGAAAAGACUUCCUGCCUACAUCUGUUGCUGCUGCCUUGGCUGAAAGAGAGGAGUUGACAAAAGAUAUCCAGAAUCUAGAGGAGCAGAGAAGAUCCAUUUCCAUUGAACACUCUUCGGAGGAUGGUUUUGAUGGGCAUGCUCUUGUAGGAACUCUUGCUGAAUUUCAGGAGGCGCAAGCCCGUUGGGGAAGAAAUGUAACUUCUAAGGAGCAACAAGAGAUGAAAGAAGCGUCUUUUAGAUCAGAAAAGGAAAAGCUUUUCAGAAGACUCGAACACAAGCUUUCCAUUGCUCAAGCAAAAAUACAUAGAGCAGGGAAGUUAUUAUCAAAGAUUGAAGCUUCUAUGAUCCUUGCAAACCCAUCCGAUGACCGAGAAAUGAUCACAGCUGAGGAGAGAUCUGUUUUCCGUAGAAUUGGUCUGAAAAUGAAAGCAUAUUUGCCUGUUGGAAUCCGUGGUGUCUUUGAUGGCGUCAUUGAAAAUAUGCACUUGCACUGGAAGCACAGGGAAGUUGUCAAAUUGAUUACAAAGCAAAAGACCUUGGCGUUUGUUGAGGAGACAGCACGACUUCUAGAGUAUGAGAGUGGUGGUAUACUAGUUGCAAUCGAAAGAGUUCCCAAGGGCCAUGCACUUAUUUUUUACCGUGGAAAGAAUUAUAGGAGGCCUAUUAACAUAAGGCCUAGAAAUCUCUUAACAAAGGCUAAGGCAUUGAAACGCGCAGUUGCAAUGCAACGCCAUGAGGCCCUAAGCCAGCAUAUAGAGCAACUGGAAAUCAAUAUGAAGAAGAUGAAGCGUGAUUUGGGCAUGGAGGACUACGAUGAAGAGGACGAGGAUGGAUCAGGUUCAGAAAGUGAAGACGAUACAACGGGCUAUGAUGAGGGUAUGGAGGACUACGAUAAAGAGGAAGAGGAUGAAUCAGAUUCAGAAGAUGAAGACAACUAGCCUCAGCAGUGCACAAGAGGAUCAACUAUAACUACUGGUCGCGGCGCGGUCAUGUCCUUCUCUGGGUCGCUAUAUCGGGAGGCCUGAUCUGAAGCCUGUGUAUGUUUGAUGUGAAGCAACAUCCAGAGAAGUGCCUCACAUCAAUAGGCUGCUGCAAGUCGAUAGAUGGACCGCUUCCUAGUUGUCGACUCUCAUGAUUAGCCUUUGUAGGAUCUGUACAAACAUUUGGUAUAGCCUGUUCGUUCUUAAAGAACCGAUUCUGUGUGGACACAGGGGUUCCUUUAUCGUAUUUAUUACUUACAGUACUAACUAAAAAUGUUUUUAGGCACGUAUUACCUUGACCAGAAUCUGGAAGGUGAGUGAGGGUUGAGCUCCUAGCCCAGUAAAAUACUGAAUGAUGUUCUCUUGUGAAUGGUUGACAGGGAAGAAAUGCCAUGCAGAAACCUGUAGGGAUCUUGUAAAAACAUGGUUGGGUGAUUACGGAGUUUUACGAGGCUGUGAGUUUGGAAGAAUUCUUUUAAAAGCGAUCCCAAGU
rnacentral:rRNA from 1 species